GUUUAGAACGUCGUGAGACAGUUCGGUCCCUAUCUGCCGUGGGCGUUGGAGACAUGAGGGGAGCUGCUCUUAGUACGAGAGGACCGGAGUGGACGUACCUCUGGUGUUCCGGUUGUCACGCCAGUGGCAUUGCCGGGUAGCCAAGUACGGAAGGGAUAACCGCUGAAAGCAUCUAAGCGGGAAGCCCCCCCCAAGAUGAUGUCUCCCUGGAUCCUUUGAGAUCCCUGAAGGACCCUUGAAGAUUACGAGGUUGAUAGGCCAAGUGUGGAAGCGCAGUAAUGCGUGAAGCUAAUUGGUACUAAUUGUCCGUGAGGCUUGACCAU
rnacentral:rRNA from 1 species